AUCAAUUGCACCAGGAAUCUUGGCUAACUUAUCAACUGUUCGUUGUGGCAUUUGUCGGAUUCUCAUCUAAAUCCUUUGAUCAUUGGUGUUUCAGCUUCUCUAAGUUUGGGGUGCCAUAGGAGGUGGGUUUAUCAAAUCUUUGGAUUCCGUAUCUACUUGUGCGUGUGGGUUUGAGGCUUGUGCCAUAGGGUUCCGCGUCA
rnacentral:lncRNA from 1 species